GUUAACAGCCGCAUAGGCUGCUUAGAAA
rnacentral:other from 1 species